AUUGAACGCUGGCGGCAUGCCUUACACAUGCAAGUCGAACGGUAACAGGUCUUCGGAUGCUGACGAGUGGCGAACGGGUGAGUAAAACAUCGGAACGUGCCUAGUAGUGGGGGAUAACUACUCGAAAGAGUGGCUAAUACCGCAUGAGAUCUACGGAUGAAAGCAGGGGAUCGCAAGACCUUGUGCUACUAGAGCGGCCGAUGGCAGAUUAGGUAGUUGGUGGGAUAAAAGCUUACCAAGCCGACGAUCUGUAGCUGGUCUGAGAGGACGAUCAGCCACACUGGGACUGAGACACGGCCCAGACUCCUACGGGAGGCAGCAGUGGGGAAUUUUGGACAAUGGGCGCAAGCCUGAUCCAGCAAUGCCGCGUGCAGGAUGGAGGCCUUCGGGUUGUAAACUGCUUUUGUACGGAACGAAAAGCCCCGGGUUAAUACCCUGGGGUCAUGACGGUACCGUAAGAAUAAGCACCGGCUAACUACGUGCCAGCCGCCGCAGUAA
rnacentral:rRNA from 1 species